UCCUUGCCACAAAAAAAAAAAAAAAAAAAGUAAUUACGUGACGUGAUGGAGGUGUCAGCUAAUACUAUGGUGGUAAUCAUUUUGCAGUAUGAGAGAGUAUUAAAGCAACACACUGUAUACUUUAAACUCAUGAAAUGUUAUGUGUCAUUAUAUCUCAAUAAAACUGGGGUAAAAAAAAGAAAAGUACAAAGAAAAGUAUCUUUUUUUGUGUGUCCUAUUUCAAUUAGAAUCCCUUGGCUAGAAAGAUGGAAGUACAUCUUGCCCAUUCCUGCAUGGACUCACAGUCCUUAUAGAGCCACUAACACAAACUUACCUAGGCCAUCCAGUCCCGAAGAGACCAGCAACACUAUUUUGAGUGAUACAGAGGAUGGAGCAGCAGAAAAUGUGUCACUCUCACAUCUACAGAACUUCAAACAAACUAGGCAAGAGAACUUAGUUAUUUCACUGGGUGGUGGAUUCUAAAUCAUAGCCCUAAUACAAGUUUGUACUUAAACAACAGAAACCUUUGAAGAUUUUAUGAUUUGCUGGACCCAACAACAGUAAACAUUCAUUGAUGGACAUCGGGGAUAAACAAUAAGGAGUCAGAAAAUGCCCUGCACACAGACUGGCAUUUACCUGAUACAGUUUGAGAGGUUCCAAAAUUUCUAGGAUUAGCCUGCCACAAUACUGAAAUCUCUACCAAUAAAGUAAUUCUUAUUUUUUUAAUAUUUUGUUUAUUUAUUAAUGAGAGACACACAGAGAGAGAGAGAGGCAGAGAGAGAAGCAGGAUCCAUGUAGGGAGCCCAACGUGAGACUCGACCCCAGGUCUCCAGGAUCAGACCCUGGGCUGAAGGCAGCACUAAACCACUGAGCCACCUGGGCCACCCUAAAGUAAUUCUUUAUGUGGCUAAGACAGUCUGUGAAAAACACAUAUGAAAAUAUGUGUUUCAAAUAUAUUUGAAAAUAUAAGUCACUGCUUCAUCAACAACUUAUCAUUUUCCCACUAGAGUUCAAAUCCUAAGCAAAAAAAAGGAAUUAAAAAUAAAA
rnacentral:lncRNA from 1 species